GCUAUGGAGUUAGAGUGUACAUUCCUCCUCCAGUAAGGUGUUUCAAAUGCCAAAGAUGUUUGUUUUGCUGCAGCAAUUAAUUAAUCAUUCAUCUUACAGUAGAGUACAGUUUAUGGAAAAAAAGUAGAAUUGUUGCAGUAAAGACUUUACCGUAUUUACAACAGGACAUUACUGCAAGAUAACAAACAUAUUCAAUAUUACUUCCAUUUACAGUAAAAAGGUAAAAAUAAACAAAUACAAACAGAAAAAGCCACUGAAGAAUAAAGCAAAAAAGAAAAUAUCAUCAUCUAAUCUAUUGCGUUUCUAUUUGGCCACAUGUUCUCAUUCACAUUACACCUGCUUUUUCUCUGGCAAGGCAUCUUGUGAAGAACCUUUUGCCAUGUCUUAUCCACCUCUGACAGUGUUCAGUUGUGAUGUCUGGGAAUGCACCAUCUAUUACAUCCAGGAUGGGAGAAAAACCUCUCCCUUGUCAUGGUGGUCUUCCGCUGACUCGUGCAGACAUAUGUCUUAUUUUUGUGUUGCUCAUAUUGUUCCUUUUCCACACAAGAUCAACCUAUAGAGGCCCUCCUUUACUCUAUUGUAUACCAUAUACUCAAUUGAAAAGAACCUGAGUGUGUUUUCUAGGUGGGAAUCAGCUGUGAUUUAUAUAUUUGCAUUGGUACAAUAAGUUGUUUUUCAAUCCCAAUGGAAUAAAAUACAGGGGAUAUGUUUAUGUUUCAAUUUGUCACACAAACAGCUGUUUACUUUGACUAUAAGUGAGGUUUAGCACAUGAUGUUAUCUGUUUUGACAUACUGCGUGAAAGCAUUUGUAAAUUUGACAUUAAAAAUCUAUUGUUUUGGUCUUGUUUGAGCUUGUCUGUAAAAGAAGCUAAAGCAUUUUAAAUUUGUGUUACUUGUAUGCAUUUUGUGUUAAACCAACAAGAAAUGUGUUAAUAGUAUAGCUUUCACAGGUGGAUGUAGUGCUUACUGUGUUAAGAGUUUUGGAAACUUGUUAAAAGUAUUGAAAAAUCUGUCAUAGCAAUCGUAAAAAACUGUAAUACAGAAGCAAACACUGAAAGUCUUUACCCUCACUAACUAUUAUAGUAGCUUUAUGGCAAAUGCCUUAUACAUGUGUAUUACCUGCUCCCAUACGAUGCACUUCUGUUUUUAGGGAGCUUAGGCUGUGAUGUUUGGAAAUUGCAGUAAUUUUUCGGUUUGUUUAUAUCAAUAGUUGCCAGAUGCUGUCCUGUCAGAAAUUCUUCUUUAUGUGGUCCUUUAGGAGGGUGAUGCUGCAUUGUUAAAUCUCUCUUUGGUUUGUUCCAAAUUCAGAAGUCUGGUGGACAGGCACACUUCUGCUGGCUUGAUGGUGUAACUAAAUGGAGUACAAAGUCUGAGCCAUCCCAGGACCUUUAGAAAAUGUUUACACUGCAGCCGACACUGCAAUGAAGUGUACAAUAACUGCUUACCAGGUUAUGUUGGAACUUGGAAGAGGAAAAUGAGGAGAGAUGCAAGGCUUUUACUCCGAAAACACCCAUGCAGGGUUUUGCAGUUAGUGGUGCAUGAUGCUGCUACAGGAGCAAUAACUCUGUAUAACACAUCAGUCCUGUUCUGAAAGUCUUGUAAAUACCUCCAGGAUUGUUGAUCGUGAUUCUGAUUUCUGACAUCUACUAGGGAGUGCCCCUAAUAUUAUGUGUAUAUAUGUGAAGUUUUUUCUCAAAUCUCUUCUGCAAAUCAUGAACCAAAGGUUUAGGUAUUUCUUAUGUUUUAUAUCUUAAGGACCACAAUGGAAAUAAGCCUAUGGGCUUUUUGUAUUUUUAUCCUUUUGAACACUUCAUGUUGAUUGUUGUUCAAUAAAGUAUUUAAUCAAUUCAAUCAAUCAAAAUCUGUCUAAUACAUGUAUCCAAAGCUUUCUACUCUAAUUAACUUUUUAAUACAAAACGGUAUAUGUGUCUUUUAUUAAACAAUAUAUUAAACUCUUAAUACUUUGCAUUAAAGCAACACUUGGAGUAUAAAAUAACAACACCGGUUUCUAAUGUUCUGAAGGAUUGCAUAUGAAAUUGGUUAUAAUGCUUGGCUUAUAAAGUUUGGAUAAUUUGCAUAUUACACUUUUUUUCAAUUCAAUUCAAUUUUAUUUAUAU